ensembl:lncRNA
CGAAGGGCCGCCGCGAUCCCCACCCGCAGCGCGUUCCGCUGCCGCGUCCUCAGUGCCGCAGCGCCGCGGCUCUGAGCUUAAAAGCAACGGAACAGCUUAACGGCAGCAAAUCCACCCAGGGCCGCUCCUACAAAGCUGCUGCCUUUGGUCCAGGACGCCUUGGAGGGCUCUCUGCCGCUCCCGGCGCAUCCCGGGCGCUGCUUUGCUGAGGCACAGAUUUGCACACCUCCCCGAGCUGUGAGAUCCGCUCUGCCCGCCACCAAAUCAGUGCAGCGCCUUCCUGGGAGCGUCCACUGUGAGGUGCACUGUGUGCAGACUGCAGCAAUCGCAGCCCGAGGGGCGGCCGCCCCGAACUCCUCUUCGUCAUGGAACAUCUCCUCAGCAGAAAGAACUCCUCUGCAGUACGGGGCUGUCCGUGGCUGUGACACCUCUGCCGUCCUCACACCCCCUCUGGCACCCCGGGGUCCCUCACACUCAUGACCACAUUCCUGUCUGUUUUCCUGUGUCGUUCCUUCAAAUCCAGCCCAGCUUUGGCCUUUGGGCAGGAAGUCUGUGAACAAAAAGUCACUGUUCCAGGUGUGCUCCCGAGGUGAUCAGUUUGAGCACACACUGCUCGGCCGUUCAUCUCCCACAUCCAGGCCAAAACCAUACCGUGUUCCUCCAGCCGCUGCUAUCUUUAAGCACUGCUUUCCUUCCCUUUAGUGUCUUCUGAAUUUCCUUUGACUGCUCCACUACAAAUAAGUGCUUUAUUUAUAAAGCAAACAAAGCUUUCUGGCACAGCCCAGAUUUGCGCCUCUCGCCUUUAACCGCAGCCUUCCCCGCCCGCAGCGGCUGCCCCGCGGUGCGGAGCAUCGCAGCACAGACGCGACAGCAGGUGGCGCGGGGACCCACGGCUGCUGCCGAGCUGCGGGCACAGCUCCGCCUCCAUCCUCCGCUGCUAAAGGACCCCCUCAAUGGAAGGGACCGGACAGCCAAAGCCCUCCCAGAAUGGGGAGCGCGUCCCUCGAGGACAGCGAGGCAGAGAAGCUUAGGAUCGCCCCAGGAGGAAGGACGUGGCUGCAUCAGAGCUGGGGUAAGGCUUUAAGCCCUCAGCAGGAACUCGGGGAGUCCAGUGGGAGAUCCAUGGCCAUCAGGACCA